rnacentral:misc_RNA from 1 species
UCUCCGUAGGUGAACCUGCGGAGGGAUCAUUACCGAGUGAGGGCUCACGCCCGACCUCCAACCCUUUGUGAACCACACUUGUUGCUUCGGGGGCGACCCUGCCGUUUCGACGGCGAGCGCCCCCGGAGGCCUUCAAACACUGCAUCUUUGCGUCGGAGUUUAAGUAAAUUAAACAAAACUUUGAACAACGGAUCUCUUGGUUCUGGCAACGAUGAAGAACGCAGC